rnacentral:rRNA from 1 species
GUGGCAGCAGCCGCGGUAAAACCAGCACCUCAAGUGGUCAGGAGGGUUAUUGGGCCUAAAGCAUCCGUAGCCUGCUUUGUUAGUUUUCGGUUAAAUCCAUAUGCUCAACAUAUGGGCUGCCGGAAAUACUGCAUAGCUAGGGAGUGGGAGAGGUAGACGGUACUCCGUAGGAAGGGGUAAAAUCCUUUGAUCUAUGGAUGACCACCUGUGGCGAAGGCGGUCUACCAGAACACGUCCGACGGUGAGGGAUGAAAGCUGGGGGAGCAAACCGGAUUAGAUACCCGGGUAGUCCCAGCUGUAAACUAUGCAAACUCAGUGAUGCAUUGGCUUGUGGCCAGUGCAGUGCCGCAGAGAAGUCGUUAAGUUUGCCGCCUGGGAAGUACGUACGCAAGUAUGAAACUUAAAGGAAUUGGCGGGGGAGCACCACAAGGGGUGAAGCCUGCGGUUCAAUUGGAGUCAACGCCAGAAAUCUUACCCGGAGAGACAGCAGGAUGAAGGUCAAGCUGAAGACUUUACCAGACAAGCUGAGAGGUGGUGCAUGGCCGUCGUCAGCUCGUGCCGUGAGAUGUCCUGUUAAGUCAGGUAACGAGCGAGAUCCCUGCCUCUAGUUGCCACCAUUACUCUCAGGAGUAGUGGGGCGAAUUAGCGGGACCGCUGCAGUUAAUGCGGAGGAAGGAAGGGGCCACGGCAGGUCAGUAUGCCCCGAAACUCUGGGGCCACACGCGGGCUGCAAUGGUAGUUACAAUGGGUCCCGAAUCCGAAAGGAGGAGGUAAUCCUCAAACGCUACCACAGUUAUGACUGAGGGCUGUAACUCGCCCUCACGAAUAUGGAAUCCCUAGUAACUGCGUGUCAUUACCGCGCGGUGAAUACGUCCCUGCUCCUUGCACACACCGCCCGUC